UCUCUUAAGUCUUUCCCUCUCUAGAAUUGGACUUUCUCUCUUUACAUUCUCUCUCCAUUUUCUCUCUCUAGAUUUUCUCCCUAUUUUCUCUCUCUAGACCUUUUAUCUCUUUUUAUGGAUUUCAUCUCUCUAGGGUCAUUCUCUCUCUGAUUGCAUCACAGACCCUAGGAUAAACUUGAGAUGAAAAUAUGAUGAUCUGAGACUGCUCCAAAAUUCAUGCAGUAGAUUAGAUCCUGAUCCGAUCCUUCUUCGAAAUUGAUAACAUCGGUCAUGGUUAAUUCAUAUUAAGUCAUCCUGAUAUAACCUCUGAUGAUCUCAAUCAUGAUUGUCACUUUUGAAGGAUACGAAGAUUCUCUCUCUACUUUCUCUCUCAUGAUCGACUUUCUCUAUCUAAAAAAGGUCUAUGAAUCCUGUAUCGAGUCAUGCCUUCAUCUUUUAGAAGCUCAUAUUGACUCUAACAAGAUGAUCCGAAGUUGCUUUGAUAUCCGUGCUG
rnacentral:lncRNA from 1 species